rnacentral:rRNA from 1 species
UACGAAGGGGGCUAGCGUUGCUCGGAAUUACUGGGCGUAAAGCGCACGUAGGCGGGUUCUUAAGUCGGUGGUGAAAUCCUGGAGCUCAACUCCAGAACUGCCUUCGAAACUGGGAAUCUUGAGUCCGGGAGAGGUGAGUGGAACUGCGAGUGUAGAGGUGAAAUUCGUAGAUAUUCGCAAGAACACCAGUGGCGAAGGCGGACUCACUGGCCCGGUACG